rnacentral:rRNA from 1 species
UACGUAGGGAGCAAGCGUUGUUCGGAUUCAUUGGGCGUAAAGGGUGCGUAGGCGGCGCGGUAAGUCGGGUGUGAAAUCUCGGAGCUUAACUCCGAAACUGCAUUCGAUACUGCCGUGCUUGAGGACUGGAGAGGAGACUGGAAUUUACGGUGUAGCGGUGAAAUGCGUAGAUAUCGUAAGGAAGACCAGUGGCGAAGGCGGGUCUCUGGACAAUUCCUGACGCUGAGGCACGAAGGUCAGGGGAGCAAACGGG